UACGUAGGGGGCAAGCGUUGUCCGGAAUCAUUGGGCGUAAAGAGCGUGUAGGCGGCCAGAAAAGUCCGCUGUGAAAACUCGAGGCUCAACUUCGAGCUGUCGGUGGAAACUUUCUGGCUAGAGUCCGGAAGAGGAGAAUGGAAUUCCUGGUGUAGCGGUGAAAUGCGCAGAUAUCAGGAAGAACACCUGUGGCGAAGGCGGUUCUCUGGGACGGUACUGACGCUGAGACGCGAAAGCGUGGGGAGCGAACAGG
rnacentral:rRNA from 1 species